GGAACAAGAAAUCUUAUACCAUUUUAAUUAAAAUGUGGGUUUGUGGGCAUUGCUCUGAUUGUUUACCACAUUUUAGUUUGGAAUGCCAGUAAGGCAGCAGUAUAGUAUUUUAGACGUAUUUACAGAAUCAUUCGCAGAGACAGGCAAAUGUGAGCUUGAAGGCGAUUCAUUCCGACUUGUUCUCCGUACCUUGUAAAUAACAAAGAAAGGGGUGAAAACAACAGCCGUGAAGAACGUACAAUAAGAAGAAUCACCCUAAAGUCAUACCACAGGCAACCUGCACGUCGCGACUUUUUAAGCAAACCAGACACGUCGGUAUUUUCAUCGCAGUCAAUAUAUAUAACGACCUUCACGCAGACAGUCGCAUUUUGAGCAAAGUUUGUUAGGAAUUGACAUCAUAAUUAUUGAGUUCAAUGCGUCCAUGUUUUCCACUACGAAAGUCAUAACUUACGGCCUUUUGCUCGUCGUCUUGGCAAUGCUGUCAAUGAGCUAUGCAGGUGCUCGCUGUGGCGGAGCCGUGUGGAUGGGUUGUAGCAGAACAACAAAAAAGCCAGUAACAAUCACGGUGAAAGCACACAGACACAGG